AGUGAACGCUGGCGGUAGGCCUAACACAUGCAAGUCGAACGGCAGCACAGUAAGAGCUUGCUCUUACGGGUGGCGAGUGGCGGACGGGUGAGGAAUACAUCGGCAUCUACUUUUUCGUGGGGGAUAACGUAGGGAAACUUACGCUGAUACCGCAUACGACCUACGGGUGAAAGCAGGGGAUCUUCGGACCUUUCGCGAUUGAAUGAGCCGAUGUCGGAUUAGCUAGUUGGCGGGGUAAAGGCCCACCAAGGCGACGAUCCGUAGCUGGUCUGAGAGGAUGAUCAGCCACACUGGAACUGAGACACGGUCCAGACUCCUACGGGAGGCAGCAGUGGGGAAUAUUGGACAAUGGGCGCAAGCCUGAUCCAGCCAUACCGCGUGGGUGAAGAAGGCCUUCGGGUUGUAAAGCCCUUUUGUUGGGAAAGAAAAGCAGCAGGUUAAUACCCCGCUGUUCUGACGGUACCCAAAGAAUAAGCACCGGCUAACUUCGUG
rnacentral:rRNA from 1 species